rnacentral:rRNA from 1 species
GACGAACGCUGGCGGCGUGCUUAACACAUGCAAGUCGAACGGUAAGGCCCUUCGGGGUACACGAGUGGCGAACGGGUGAGUAACACGUGGGUGAUCUGCCCUGCACUUCGGGAUAAGCCUGGGAAACUGGGUCUAAUACCGGAUAGGACCACUGCCUGCAGGGGUGGUGGGGGAAAGCUUUUGCGGUGUGGGAUGGGCCCGCGGCCUAUCAGCUUGUUGGUGGGGUGAUGGCAUACCAAGGCGACGACGGGUAGCCGGCCUGAGAGGGUGACCGGCCACCCUGGGACUGAGAUACGGCCCAGACUCCUACGGGAGGCAGCAGUGGGGAAUAUUGCACAAUGGGCGCAAGCCUGAUGCAGCGACGCCGCGUGAGGGAUGACGGCCUUCGGGUUGUAAACCUCUUUCAGCACCGACGAAGCGCAAGUGACGGUAGGUGCAGAAGAAGGACCGGCCAACUACGUGCCAGCCGCCGCAGUAA